UGUGGAUAUGUAGACUGUACGGAAAUAGAAUUCUAAUCCAACUAGGAUUCUUUUAAGUACUGAUUUAAAUCUGAUUUAAUCCUAACCAAUUUAGAAUUAGGUAGCACCCAAAUCAAGCUAAUUCUUAGUCCAAUUUGGAACUCAAAUUAAAUCUGAAUUAUAUCUUAAUCUGAUUAAAAAAUUAAUUUAAUCAAAUUCUAGUCAAACUAG
rnacentral:lncRNA from 1 species